UACGUAGGGUGCAAGCGUUGUCCGGAAUUAUUGGGCAUAAAGAGCUCGUAGGCGGUUUGUCGCGUCGAAUGUGAAAACCCGGGGCUCAACCCCGGGCCUGCAUUCGAUACGGGCAGACUAGAGUUCGGUAGGGGAGUCUGGAAUUCCUGGUGUAGCGGUGAAAUGCGCAGAUAUCAGGAGGAACACCGGUGGCGAAGGCGGGACUCUGGGCCGAUACUGACGCUGAGGAGCGAAAGCGUGGGGAGCAAACAGG
rnacentral:rRNA from 1 species